rnacentral:rRNA from 1 species
GAUGAACGCUGGCGGCGUGCCUAAUACAUGCAAGUCGAGCGAACAGACGAGGAGCUUGCUCCUCUGACGUUAGCGGCGGACGGGUGAGUAACACGUGGAUAACCUACCUAUAAGACUGGGAUAACUUCGGGAAACCGGAGCUAAUACCGGAUAAUAUAUUGAACCGCAUGGUUCAAUAGUGAAAGACGGUUUUGCUGUCACUUAUAGAUGGAUCCGCGCCGCAUUAGCUAGUUGGUAAGGUAACGGCUUACCAAGGCAACGAUGCGUAGCCGACCUGAGAGGGUGAUCGGCCACACUGGAACUGAGACACGGUCCAGACUCCUAAGGGAGGCAGCAGUAGGGAAUCUUCCGCAAUGGGCGAAGGCCUGACGGAGCAACGCCGCGUGAGUGAUGAAGGUCUUCGGAUCAUAAAACUCUGUUAUUAGGGAAGAACAAAUGUGUAAGUAACUAUGCACGUCUUGACGGUACCUAAUCAGAAAGCCACGGCUAACUACGUG